AAUUUUAAGACGUUUUGAUGGUCUAUAAAUCUCAGGAGCUUAAAUCCGGGCCCGGAUUAAUGAUUCAACCGGAUGGCGUGGCUGGGAAUUGGGUUUUGUGCAAAUUUUGUGUCAAAAAGUGCGCUUUAAGGGUCACAUGACCGACUUACGACUUUCGCUAUCGCACAGCACUUCGUUCCGUUUCAUGGCUAGUACCACACUGAACUAUAGUACCGCCACUAUCCGUACCAACCUUGUACCUAUGGAAAUAAGCGCCGAUUACAUCUAAAUUGAAUUUGAGUCAUUAAAUCGCCUCGUUUGGCUCAAAAUCACUGUCCGGUGUGCGUUCGUUCCAAGGGUGAAUAAUGGGCCUCGAACUCGUCACUUUUUACCAAUUUGGUGUAUUUUUCAGUCACGUAACGACCCACUUUGCGUUAACAAAGUGUACAAACAAGACGUUUAUUGUUGUUUAAAGUCUGCGUCAGAAGGACUGGUUUAAUUGCGGUUGCCCAACCGUAAAAUGUGUUUAACCAAGGAGAUAACCAUGUUUGCGCGAAAAUUUUUUCGGAAAAGUCGCCGGUAAUUAUCCAUAAUUGUAAAAAUCUGGGCCAAUUACGUCUAAUCGGGCGAUUAUCGUCAUCAUCAUCAUCAAGAAAAUCAACGCAAUUACCCGAAGAGUGAAAAUUCCAGUCCACUCCAGACGCGGAUUUACGGUACGCGUGAUCCCGGAAGGAAAUCCGGUCGAUUGUCAUUAAAAUUUUUCGGAUUAGUGGAAACGGAGCGGCACCAAAUCACACACACACAAGGGGAUAGGAGACCUACUGAGGAUGAUCUCUGUAUCCACAGCGAAAUUAAAUUCCGUCCUUGAAGGAUCUACGUAUUGUUAUGACCGGCAAUCACAAACAAGGCUGUGCGAAAAACGAGAAACCUCUAUUACAGGGCAAGAUUUUCGGAUUUGAUUGCAACAUAAGGGCCACGCGGACACGCUUGGUGGCCAACAAUUGAGGACAAAUUUUGCUGUGAAAAUUUAUUAAUUAAAAUAAUGAAGGUUAAACGAAUCUUGAAGAAAAUAAAAUAUGGUGAAAAAGUUGAAUGCUUUUAUUGAUCGGUCACGCUCGAUCAAUUACUACUAGAGUUAUAAUUGAGUAACAACUAACAAGUAAUCAUAUCUUUAUUACGUAACUAAAUCUGCUUGAAAAAAUUGUAUGUAAUUUAAAUAGAGUUUUAUUAGUUUAAUUAUGAAGAAAAAUUACAUAAACCUUCCAUCAAAGAUAAGAGUUUAAGGUUAAAAAUAGGAAAAUAAUUUAUGGUUGCCAAAACGCAGAGCUUUGAACCCUAGACACAGUCCAACAUAUUUUCACUUUCUUCCCUCUUUUAAAAUAGAACAAUACAGGGUGGCCCAGCUCAGCUCCCGUCUUUUGUAGCCAGCUAUUAGUAAAGUUGGAGUUUUGAUAUUUUAUAGACGUUAUUUAUACUCUAGAACGUGUUUCAGGAAAAUAUUUUUGAUUAUACACAGUGUCUCAAAAAAGUAUGACGUCCUAAUAAUACUUUUUUUAAUGACAUGCUAGAAUUUUUUGGUGCUCAUUAGGAUGCCUUUUUAGAUUCUUACAUGUUAAUUCAGUUGAGGGAUUACUGUUAAAAAAAUAAAAACAAAAAAAAUCGGUUAUACAUCUUUAGUUUUAAAAAUUAAAAAAAAUGGAAGCAACGUUUUUUUUUGAUAACAUUAUUACCAAGUACGUGUUGAACAAGAUUUAACAAACUUAUUAAUUAAGUUUGAUUAAUCUGAAUUACUACAGGGUGUUUACAAUUUAUUUUCAAACUUCUAAAAAUUUAGAGCCUUUUAUUUUGCUUAUUUUAAAUGGCAACCCCUGUUAAUUUUUGUAUCAUUCUAAAAAACUAAAAGUGUAAAAUCAAUUUUUUAACAGUAAUCCCUGAAUCGAUAAAAACAACUUUAGUAUGAAUGAGCACUAAAAAAUAGUAGCAUGCCAUUAAAAAAUUUAUUAUUAUGACGUGAUACUUUUUUGGGACUUUCUGUAUAAUCAAAAAAAUAUUUUCCUGAAAUACGUCCUAGAGUAUAAAUAACGUCUACAAAAUAUCAAAAGUCCAACUUUACUAAUAACUGAGCUACAGAAAACGGGAGCUGAGCUGGGCCACCUGUAUAGGAAUUUUGUAUUAGACGGUGUACAAGCAGUGAAAUAAUAUUUCUGGUCCAUUUUAAUCCGUGCUUUUUUACAAAGAGAUAAUCGGCUUCGUUUCCUCAUUGCGAGGCUUUUGCAACUGUAAUCGGCUUACGUCUGAAAAAAUUAAUCACUGGAUGCAUCCAAUCGUACUAAAAAUCCUUAAUUCGUCCACAAAACGUGCUAACUUCAUUAGACCACAUCUCUUCAUCCCUGGCACGAACCUGCACUUGUACUAAUAACCCAAUUAUCGCUUCAAUAAAACGUUUUCAAACAUUUAAAA